rnacentral:misc_RNA from 1 species
UCCGGUUUGACACCGGCAGUCUCUCCAGAGUCCCCGACAUUACUCGCUGGCAACUGGAGACAGGGGUUUCGCUCGUUAUGGGACUUAACCCGACAUCUCACGACACGAGCUGACGACAGCCAUGCAGCACCUGUAGUAGGUUCCGGACUGGAUACCGUUGGGGGAACGUUUCCGCCCCCUACUCCCUACCGCUUUCGCACAUGUCAAGCCUGGGAUAAGGUUCUUCGCGUAGCCUCGAAUUAAGCCACAUGCUCCACCGCUUGUGUGAGCCCCCGUCAAUUCCUUUGAGUUUCAACCUUGCGGUCGUACUCCCCAGGCGGGGUACUUCCUGCGUUAGCGCCGGCACCCAGAGGGUCGCUCCCCCAGGCACCUAGUACCCAUCGUUUACGGCGUGGACUAC